rfam:Nocardioides sp. Soil797 contig_3, whole genome shotgun sequence.
CCCGGUCCUCGGUAGUGGCCUUCAGAAUCUGCACACGGCAGAUCUGCGGGCCUCGAUCGAAGACCGGC